GUCACCUGGCUGGAGUGAAGUGGCACGAUCUUGGCUCACUACAACCUCUGCCUCCUGGGUUCAAGUGAUUCUCCUGCCUCAGCCUCCUGAGUAGCUGUGACUACAGGGGCGUGCCACCAUGCCCAGCUAAUUUUUUUGUGUUUUUAAUGGAGACAGGGUUUCUCAAAGUUGGCCAGACUGGUCUCGAUCUCCUGACCUCAUGAUCCACCCUCCUCGGCUUCCCAAAGUGCUGGGAUUACAGGUGUGAGCCACCGCGCCUGGCCUAGUUCUUGUCCUCCUCUACCCAAGCUCAGCACAGGCACAGUCUCCACUCAGCUGGGGACCACAACACCCCAGGCCUGGGUUCCUCCAGGGACAGGACAGAGGCUUGGUCCACCCACAAGUCCUCUAGAAACCUCUUUGGUCCUAUCAGCCUCUGCCCAAAGGAGAGGCUGCCCCGAUGAGAGCCUGCUGACUGAAGCCUGCACAACAGCAUCCCUGACAGAGUGACGGAGGCACCCUGGGAGUGAGGCACCUCCCAAGUCUACUGGGGGAAGAGGGCAUCCCUUACCGGUUUAUCAGGUAAACCUCUUGACCCCACGCAGCACCAGCCCUUCUAGUCCCCAGGCACAGCACCAGCUGGGCAUGAGAACUCUGAUGCCCCAGGUGAUGGUGUCCCCUAGACAGAUUGGGAUAUCAGCCAAUUCCCUCCCCAGAGCAGACGGACAUGCACUGCGGGAGGCCUGGGGGAGGCAGCCCUCUCCAGAUGCCUGCACCAAGGACCAGGCCUCUUUAUGUGGCUCCCCUGCAGAGGGCAUUGUGGUGGGAAUGACAUGGGUUUGCAGGAGUCCCGGCCUUCCUGGGCACUGCAGCCAUGAGCCUGUGUGGGAACUGGACCAGUGCCUGGUAGGCUGGGUGCUCCUGUCCCAGCUGAGGUGGAGAAUCAAGCCAUGAAGGGGGCAGGAACAGGGACCUCAAGGCUCUCUCUGGGUCUAAGAUCUGCCACCUCCGGGGUCUGAGCAGGGCAAGGGAAAGGCAAGGAGGACCAGGAAGGAGGGAAGAGCAGGAGACAGCCAAGAAGAGGGCAGGAGAAAGGGCACGGGGAGAGGCAGGUGGAUGAACACAGAGUACGCACGAAUGUUCACACAUACAUGUGCCCACACACACGCGUGAAGGCGCCUGCAGACGGCGAGGAGCUGCAGAGGAAGCAGCGCCUCCUCCCCUGUGCCUCAGAGGCGUUCCCUGGGGAGGGGCUGUGAGCGUGGGAGGCUCCAGGGAGAAUGAGGAGCCUUUCUCUGCUUCUGUCUCCCACACACCCCAGCCCACUCCAGCCCCUCAAUGUCCCAGAGGCAGGAAUGUGGGCAGGUGAUGGAGAAUGAACGGCAAUCUGCUUCCCAUGCUGCCUGCCAGGCGUGCCAGCGUGACCUGUGACCUUGAGUGACUCUCACUGCCCUCCUGAACUCACUUUUGUGACCCAGCCCUCAACUUGUCCUCCAGUGGCCUGAUCACUUCAGAAGCUUCUAGUGAGUCCUUACAGAGUUCCUCCCAGCCUGGGGCAGUCCAGCUUUUCCAGCUGAAGGAGCAGCAGGUGGGUGGUCUUCUCCCCUGCCCCGAGUCUUCUACCCACUGAUUCUGGGGCUUGUUUUUGUUUUUUGAAGACAGGGUCUCACUCUGUUGCCAAGGCUGGAGUGCAGUGUCAUGAACAUAGCUCACUGCAGCCUCAACCUCUAGGGCUCAAGCCAUCCUCCUGUCUCCUGAGGCUUGAGAGGUGGGAGGAUCACUUGGGGCACACCUCCACACCUGGCCCUGAUUCUGGCAUAACCUGCCCUUUCCUCCUGGUCUCUCCCCUGGCCUGCAGGAAUUGCAACUGCCUGAGAUGCGGCUCCAUUCCAUUCAUCUCUCUGCCUCAUCCUGCCAGGUCCUUGCCCUCCUCCUGCUCCCCCAUUAGACUUAGAGGCAGGAAGUGGGUCCUGUGUUAUCUCACUGCCUCAACAAAGUAUCUUGUGCAGAGUGGGCACUCAGUGUUUGGAGGCUGAACUGAGUGCAGAGGCAGGAGACUGUUCAGACAGCCGCAGAACAAGGCAGAGCACCACGCACUCCCCCCACGUACUCCUGGAAGCUGCUCUGGGCCGCUGCUGGACCCCCGUUGAAGCUCGCCAAGUUGAGGCCAGUUUCUUGCUCUUGUAACCGACAUGAUGCUUGUUUUUGUGGGAGAACCUUGGCCUGGAUCUGUGAUUAAUUCUCUAGGGUGGAAGGCUGUGAUCAGGAUCACAGCAGGAGGGGCCAAGCCUACAGAGCAUGGCGGCAGGAAAGGGGAGGUGGGGGGCACUGGAUCUGAACUCCUUGGCCCAUGCGGGCUGCAGCCAAGAACACAGACACCUGUGUGUGCUUCUCUUGUGCAAGCUCUGAUCUCUGUGCUCCACAUGCACUGGGACACUCAAUCCUUACCCCAAACCUCCAGGGACCCCUGUGUGAUGGACUUGGAAGCGGUGGAGCCGGGACCAGGCAAGGCCAUCUGUCCAUGCUCUGCCACGACGCCAUACUGCAGGACUCAGGCAGUGUUUGAACAGAGCCCCCACUGGGCUUUAAUGGGGUGCUGAAUGCUGAGCCUGUAGGUGUGCAGGCAGCAGGUGGGAGUGGGCCCAGCACGAAUCCUGACUUGGCCACAUUUCAUCUGACUGCAUAUCCUGGGGAGGAGAGCCCACUAGGGAGCAGGUGCCAAAUUCCCCCACGGUGGUGGAGGCAGGGGAGUGGCAGAGACUAUCUGUGACUUUGGCGGUGUGCUCUGGGCAAGUGACUGAGCCUCAGUUUUCUCCUCUGUACAAUGGGGAGAGGACGUACAGGGGGCCCAUACCAGACCGUGAGCCGCAGUGAAAGGCCAAGGAAUGUAGCUGCCCCUGACUGUUACAAUCAUCAAGUCCUGGUGUCUCUAUGUGCUUUCCAAACCAGAAGCCACAAAAAGACUACUCAACUACAGAAAAACACAAAGCCUCCAUGUGGCAAAAGCCCAUAAACAAAAAUAAAAGAUGCAUGGAAAAACAUUUGCAAAUCAUCACAGACAAGGAACCAACCUCCUUCACAUAUACAAGGAACCUAUAAACUGAUAAGAAAAACAGGCAAAGGAAAAAAACAGUGUUUGCAGGAAAGGCUGUGUAAAUGAUCUUCAGCUUUUGAAAACACGCUCAAACUCACUCUGUAACAGAAAAGCAAACUUAACAAUUGCCCCAAGACAGGCUUCUUACCUGACAGGAAGAAUCCUGCAGCCUGGUGAGACUGUGGGGAAAUGGACCUUCUUGGGAAUGUAGUGCCAGCCCAGGCUGGCAUGGCCUGAGGUGGGAAGCUUGGCAAAUCUACCCAGACUGUACGUGCAUCAGUUCCAACCUAGCCAUCCCACUUCUGGGGAUGUGUCCUACAGAUAUAGGUACACUUGACUCUGAGCAAUUAAUGCUGCACAAAGUAGGUAGAGAUGCAUUGUUUUUAGCACCGAAAGACUGAAAAGAUCUUCAUGCUCACCCACAAGGGACUGCAUGAUGAAUGCAAUGUCCGCAGCCCCAAGAAAGGAUGGGUGCUCCUAUGUGCUGACGUAGAAUUAUCCACCAUGUGCAUGGUUAAUCAAACAUAGCUGGUGGAGAACAGCACGUGGGAAAAGUGGGGUUUGAGGGAUAAACAGUCAUUCCAUGAUAUCUGAAUGCUCGCAAUCCAACCUCAGGAGACACAUGGAUGAGACAGUCUUCUGAGAAGAGGUCUGAGUGGGACUGUCAUCCUCAUGUCCAGGUGAUGACCUGAGUGCCAGGGUCCCAGGCAGCCUCUAGUCAGUACAGCCCCAAGCCAGGUUCCCUCCAGCCUCGGGGCAGCAUCACCUCCCUGAGGCCUUCCUCACCCACAGCCUGUGGCCUCCUUGUCCGUGUGUAUGAUGGGCUCUGGUCUGCACUGGGCUGCACUGACUGCACUGGGAUGCCUGUCAGUGCAGAGGGCUCUGCUCUCCCCCGGAGCUCUGGGCUCCAUAUAGCUGUGACCCACAGAGCUCUCAGGAAGGGCUCACGUGGGACCCCCGGCCACUCAAAUCAGGCAGGGAGCCCUCCCUCUUGAAAGGUGCCAGGAUUACUACUACCUGAAGUUCCCAGGCUGGGUGGGGUUCCCCUAUGGGCCCAGCAUGAUGGAGGCCAGGAAUAUCCUGGGCCUGGGCGCAGGGAUCCCCUUACCUGCCGUUCUGGUCUGUGUGGCUCCAUCAGCUUCACCACCUGUCCCUGCUGUACCAAAAUGACCUGGGAAUCCCCGAGCCAGGCGACGUGCAGGGUCGCUCCUGCAAUGAGCGCACACACACCUGUGGUGCCGCUCUGCAGCCGCUGCAGGGAGAGAGGGCCCAUGAGAGUUGAGAGGAGGUAGGGAAGGGCAGAGGAUGACACGGGGCAGGAUGAAGCUUCCGGGGGUGAUGAAUACUUCCGUUACUGUGGUGAGGAAUCCACAGGUGUAUAUGUGUAUAAGCCAAAACUUGCCAAAUUGUGGACUUCAAAUAUGCACCACUUACUACCUGUCAAUUGUAUCUCAAUAAAGAUGUUUAUUUAUUUAUUUAUUUAUUUAUUUAGAGACAGAGUCUUGCUCUGUCAUUCAGGCUGGGCUGCAGUGGCACAAUCUCGGCUCAGUGCAACCUCCGCCUCCCGGGUUCAAGUGAUUCUCCUGCCUCAGCCUCCCAAGUAGCUAAGAUUACAGGCGUACAGCACCACGCCUGGCUAAUUUUUUGUGUUUUUAGUAGAGACGGGGUUUUGCCAUGUUUCUUUCCCAGGCUGGUCUUGAACUCCUGAGCUCAGGCAAUCUGCCUGCCUUGGCCUCCCAAAGUGCUAGGAUUACAGGCGUGAGUCACUGCGCCUGGCUAUUUAUUUAUUUAGAGGCAAAAUCUUGCUCUGUCACCCAGGCUGGAGUGCAGUGGCACAGUCUCAGCUCACUGCAACUUCCAUCUCCUGGGCUCAAGUGAUUCUCAUGCCUCAGCCUCCCAAGUAGCUGGGACUAUAGGCGCGUGCCACCAUACCUGG
rnacentral:lncRNA from 10 species